GUAGGGAAUAUUGGGCAAUGGAUGCAAGUCUGACCCAGCCAUCCCGCGUGCCGGAAGAAGGCCCUCAGGGUUGUAAACGGCUUUUGACGGUGAAGAAUCGACAGGAUGCGUCCUGUUUUGACGGUAGCCGUUGAAUAAGCACCGGCUAACUCCGUGCCAGCAGCCGCGGUAAUACGGAGGGUGCGAGCGUUGUCCGGAUUUAUUGGGUUUAAAGGGUGCGUAGGCUGGUAGGUCAGUCAGCGGUGAAAAGCUGUCGCUUAACGAUAGUCUUGCCGCAGAUACUUCCUUUCAUGGAUGAGGAGGAGGCCACUGGAACGGAUGGUGUAGCGGUGAAAUGCAUAGAUAUCAUCCAGAACACCGAUUGCGAAGGCAGGUGGCUGUACCUUAAUCGACGCUGAUGCACGAAAGCAUGGGGAGCAAACAGGAUUAGAUACCCUAGUAGUCC
rnacentral:rRNA from 1 species